rnacentral:rRNA from 1 species
CCUACGGGUGGCAGCAGUGGGGGAUAUUGCACAAUGGGGGGAACCCUGAUGCAGCGACGCCGCGUGGGUGAAGAAGCGCCUCGGCGCGUAAAGCCCUGUCAGCAGGGAAGAAGAAAGACGGUACCUGACUAAGAAGCCCCGGCUAACUACGUGCCAGCAGCCGCGGUAAUACGUAGGGGGCAAGCGUUAUCCGGAUUUACUGGGUGUAAAGGGAGCGUAGACGGCUGUGCAAGUCUGAAGUGAAAGCCCGUGGCUCAACCGCGGAACUGCUUUGGAAACUGUAUAGCUUGAGUACUGGAGAGGCAGGCGGAAUUCCUAGUGUAGCGGUGAAAUGCGUAGAUAUUAGGAGGAACACCAGUGGCGAAGGCGGCAUACCGGCUCCACACUGACGCUGAGGCACGAAAGCGUGGGUAUCGAACAGGAUUAGAUACCCUAGUAGUC